AGUGAACGCUGGCGGUAGGCCUAACACAUGCAAGUCGAAUGGCAGCACAGUAAGAGCUUGCUCUUACGGGUGGCGAGUGGCGGACGGGUGAGGAAUACAUCGGAAUCUACUUUUUCGUGGGGGAUAACGUAGGGAAACUUACGCUAAUACCGCAUACGACCUACGGGUGAAAGCAGGGGAUCUUCGGACCUUGCGCGAUUGAAUGAGCCGAUGUCGGAUUAGCUAGUUGGCGGGGUAAAGGCCCACCAAGGCGACGAUCCGUAGCUGGUCUGAGAGGAUGAUCAGCCACACUGGAACUGAGACACGGUCCAGACUCCUACGGGAGGCAGCAGUGGGGAAUAUUGGACAAUGGGCGCAAGCCUGAUCCAGCCAUACCGCGUGGGUGAAGAAGGCCCUCGGGUUGUAAAGCCCUUUUGUUGGGAAAGAAAAGCAGCAGGUUAAUACCCCGCUGUUCUGACGGUACCCAAAGAAUAAGCACCGGCUAACUUCGUG
rnacentral:rRNA from 1 species